rnacentral:rRNA from 1 species
AUUGAACGCUGGCGGCAGGCCUAACACAUGCAAGUCGAACGAGUGGCGGACGGGUGAGUAAUGUCUGGGAAACUGCCUGAUGGAGGGGGAUAACUACUGGAAACGGUAGCUAAUACCGCAUAACAUCAGAUGUGCCCACAUGGGAUUAGCUUGUUGGUGGGGUAACGGCUCACCAAGGCGACGAUCCCUAGCUGGCCUGAGAGGAUGACCAGCCACACUGGGACUGAUGCACGGUCCAGACUCCUACGGGAGGCAGCAGUGGGGAAUAUUGCACAAUGGGCGAAAGCCUGAUGCAGCAAUGCCGCGUGUAUGAAGAAGGCCUUCGGGUGGUAAAGUACUUUCAGAGGGGAGGCGUUACCCGAACAAGAAGCAACGGCUAACUCCGUGCCAGCAGCCGCGGUAAUAC